GACGAACGCUGGCGGCGUGCUUAACACAUGCAAGUCGAACGGAAAGGCCCUGCUUUUGUGGGGUGCUCGAGUGGCGAACGGGUGAGUAACACGUGAGUAACCUGCCCUUGACUUUGGGAUAACUUCAGGAAACUGGGGCUAAUACCGGAUAGGAGCUCCUGCUGCAUGGUGGGGGUUGGAAAGUUUCGGCGGUUGGGGAUGGACUCGCGGCUUAUCAGCUUGUUGGUGGGGUAGUGGCUUACCAAGGCUUUGACGGGUAGCCGGCCUGAGAGGGUGACCGGCCAGAUUGGGACUGAGAUACGGCCCAGACUCCUACGGGAGGCAGCAGUGGGGAAUAUUGCACAAUGGGCGGAAGCCUGAUGCAGCAACGCCGCGUGCGGGAUGACGGCCUUCGGGUUGUAUACCGCUUUCGCCUGUGACGAAGCGUGAGUGACGGUAAUGGGUAAAGAAGCACCGGCUAACUACGUG
rnacentral:rRNA from 1 species